rnacentral:rRNA from 1 species
UACGUAGGGUGCAAGCGUUAAUCGGAAUUACUGGGCGUAAAGCGUGCGCAGGCGGUUUUGUAAGUUUGUCGUGAAAGCCCCGGGCUCAACCUGGGAAUUGCGAUGGAGACUGCAAGGCUUGAAUCUGGCAGAGGGGGGUAGAAUUCCACGUGUAGCAGUGAAAUGCGUAGAGAUGUGGGGGAACACCGAUGGCGAAGGCAGCCCCCUGGGUCAAGAUUGACGCUCAUGCACGAAAGCGUGGGGAGCAAACAGG